rnacentral:rRNA from 1 species
AUACGUAGGAUGCGAGCGUUAUCCGGAAUUACUGGGUGUAAAGGGAGCGCAGGCGGGACUGCAAGUUGGAUGUGAAAUGCCGCAGCUUAACUGCGGAGCUGCAUCCAAAACUGUAGUUCUUGAGUGGAGUAGAGGCAAGCGGAAUUCCGAGUGUAGCGGUGAAAUGCGUAGAUAUUCGGAGGAACACCAGUGGCGAAGGCGGCUUGCUGGGCUCUAACUGACGCUGAGGCUCGAAAGUGUGGGUAUC